rnacentral:rRNA from 1 species
CCUACGGGAGGCAGCAGUCAAGAAUCUUCCCCAAUGGACGAAAGUCUGAGGGAGCGACGCCGCGUGGUGGAAGACGCCCUUCGGGGUGUAAACACCUUUUACCAAGGACGAAUCAAUGACGGUACUUGGUGAAUAAGGGGCUGCUAAACUCGUGCCAGCAGCAGCGGUAAUACGAGUGCCCCAAGCGUUAUCCGGAUUUAUUGGGCGUAAAGAGUCUGUAGGCGGUUAAGAAAGUCAAUGGUCAAAUCCUAGGGCUCAACCUUGGGACUGCCAUUGAAACUUCUUGACUAGAGGUCGGAAGAGGCAGAUAGAAUUGCCGGUGUAGGGGUAAAAUCCGUUAAUAUCGGCAAGAAUACCAAAUGCGAAAGCUUUCUGCUAGAACGAAUCUGACGCUGAGAGACGAAAGCGUGGGGAGCGAAUGGGAUUAGAUCCCCUGUAGUC